rnacentral:lncRNA from 1 species
AUGGCCGAAGAAAAGCCCAAGGAAGGAGUCAAGACUGAGAACAACGAUCAUAUUAAUUUGAAGGUGGCGGGGCAGGAUGGUUCUGUGGUGCAGUUUAAGAUUAAGAGGCAUACACCACUUAGUAAACUAAUGAAAGCCUAUUGUGAACGACAGGGAUUGUCAAUGAGGCAGAUCAGAUUCCGAUUCGACGGGCAACCAAUGAAACAGACACACCUGCACAGUUGGAAAUGGAGGAUGAAGAUACAAUUGAUGUGUUCCAACAGCAGACGGGAGGUGUCUACUGA